UACGAAGGGGGCUAGCGUUGCUCGGAAUUACUGGGCGUGAAAGGGCGCGUAGGCGGGUGCUUAAGUCAGAGGUUAAAUCCCAGGGCUACAACCCCUGGAACUGCCUUUGAUACUGGGCACCUUGAGGUAUGGGAGAGGUGGAGUGGAACUCCGAGUGUAGAGGUGAAAUUCGUAGAUAUUCGGAAGAACACCAGUGGCGAAGGCGACUCACUGGACUGUAUGACGCUGAUGUGCGAAAGCGUGGGGAGCAAACAGG
rnacentral:rRNA from 1 species